rnacentral:lncRNA from 1 species
GGUUCUCUUGAUCCCACAAAAUUUGGUCCUUUGUAGCUACUUCUCCACACUUGUUUCACCCGCAUGAGUUUAUUAGCCGGAUAAACAAGAUGCCUAUUCAUAUAGGCUUACAAACUUAGCUCUUCUCAAUGAUGGAGGAUCAUGAAGCAUGAAAAUGGAUAUAGGAUGUGCAUACGACAUGAUACAGAACCUCAUAUAGGAAAGAAGCAGGAUCUGAUACAACUAGGAUACGCCAAUUAAUAUGUAUAUCAAGGUUCUUAGUAUUGGAAUUGGCACCUAUGUUGGUAGGCUGGCGGUAUGGUAUGGUACGAUGCUGUGCCGUUUUGGAGUGUCCUAACGAUGGGAAACUAGAGAGGGAGGGGGAGAGAGAGGAGAGAGAGGAAAAGAGAGGGAGGGAGGGAUAUGGAGGGGGCAAGAGAGAUGCUGGUUGAGGGAGAAAGAGGGGGCUUGGAUGCCCUUCUCUCCUUCCCUUGUCGUAGGUCCUGUUGGGCAAAGCCCUUGUUUUGAACAAAAUAAGAGCUUGGUUAAAAGAAAGGGAGGGAGAGAGAGAUGCCGAGAGAGAGAGAGAGAGAGAGCAGGGGUGGCUUGGAAUUAGGGGUGGCAAUACUUAACCAUUUAACCUUUUAACUCAUUUCAAUCCAUUAUUAAUUGAGCUAUAUUUCUUGUUUAAUAAAAUGGUCAAGUUUAGAUCUAUAUUUUUGACCGUUUAACAAUUAGGUCGGGUCUAGGUUGAUAGAUUUUUGAUCUAUCAUGUAACUGACUGGAUCCGUAUAUUGUUCAAACCGACCCAAUUGCCACCCUACUUGGAAGUCCUCUCAUCUGCUCAUUUGCAGUGCCCUCUAGGUGGAGCCCCUCUUUCAAAUGAAAUAGGUGCUCGAUCCCAAAUUUUUUAAUUUUUUUUCUGUUCUUUAAGUGAAGCCGGCAAAGAGUGUGCCUCUUUCCUAACUUCACUAUGCCGACUUCACUUGAAGAAUAGAAAAAAAAAUCAAAAAUUUGGGGUGGAGCCUCUAUUUCAUUCGAAAUAGGGUCUUUGCCCAAUGAGCCUUGCGGACGAGCAGAGGAGUGUAGGGCUUCCGAGCCCCCUCGUUCCCUCUCUCGACAUCUCUCUCCCUCCUCCCUCUCCCUCUCUCUCUUCCUCCAUCUAUCUCUCUUUUCCUGUUUUUUUUCUCCUUCUCCCCUUCCCUUGCUGGCUUGGUAUGCCCCGAAUCAGGCAAUUUGUGGUGGUACAAUGGUCCAUGAUGCAUAUAUAUGUAUGUAUUUAUAUUUUUAUACAUGCGUAUGUACAUACAUACAUAAGUAUAUAUAUAUGUAUGUAUGUGUAUAAAAAGGUAUAUAUAGAAGUGUAUAUAUAUAGACAGAAUUAUGUAUAUAAUGUAGGCUAAGAG